AGGACGAACGCUGGCGGCGUGCUUAACACAUGCAAGUCGAACGGAAAGGCCCGCUUGCGGGUACUCGAGUGGCGAACGGGUGAGUAACACGUGGGCAACCUGCCCUCAGCUUCGGGAUAACACUUGGAAACAGGUGCUAAUACCGGAUAAUAACUUGUCAUCGCAUGGUGGUGGGUUCAAAGUUUUUCGGCUGAGGAUGGGCCCGCGGCCUAUCAGCUUGUUGGUGGGGUAAUGGCCUACCAAGGCGACGACGGGUAGCCGGCCUGAGAGGGCGACCGGCCACACUGGGACUGAGACACGGCCCAGACUCCUACGGGAGGCAGCAGUGGGGAAUAUUGCGCAAUGGGCGAAAGCCUGACGCAGCGACGCCGCGUGAGGGAUGACGGCCUUCGGGUUGUAACCUCUUUAGUAGGUAAGAAGCGAAAGUGACGGUACCUGCAGAAAAGCACCGGCUAACUACGUGCCAGCAGCCGC
rnacentral:rRNA from 1 species